CCUACGGGGUGCAGCAGUGGGGAAUAUUGGACAAUGGGCGAAAGUCUGAUCCAGCCAUGCCGCGUGUGUGAAGAAGGCCUUCGGGUUGUAAAGCACUUUCAGUGGGGAAGAAAGCCUUGGGGCUAAUACCCUCGAGGAAGGACAUCACCCACAGAAGAAGCACCGGCUAACUCCGUGCCAGCAGCCGCGGUAAUACGGAGGGUGCGAGCGUUAAUCGGAAUUACUGGGCGUAAAGCGCGCGUAGGCGGUCUGAUAAGCCGGUUGUGAAAGCCCCGGGCUCAACCUGGGAACGGCAUCCGGAACUGUCAGGCUAGAGUGCAGGAGAGGAAGGUAGAAUUCCCGGUGUAGCGGUGAAAUGCGUAGAGAUCGGGAGGAAUACCAGUGGCGAAGGCGGCCUUCUGGACUGACACUGACGCUGAGGUGCGAAAGCGUGGGUAGCAAACAGGAUUAGAUACCCUUGUAGUC
rnacentral:rRNA from 1 species